GCUCCGCACACCUGAAGUGAAGGUCUUGUGACACCAGAAGAUGUUCCGGAUGUCAUCCAGCUUCUUCCAGGAGCCCUUGCGGUGUAGCAGACCACGAAUAUUCAUUCCCAAGGAUCUGAGGGACAGAAGUGCUCCCUACUGCAAGUGAUGUCUGAACCCUCUUGAGAGCAGUCUGCGCUGACUCCGUGUGCAUCUCUUCGGGAAUGUCCGCCCACUCUUUGUUUGUUCAUCGUGGAUUUGAAGUCUUACCACAUCCCUCACUGUUCACAAUUGCCUCCUUUCUAGAUAAUACUCUCCUUGAGGACAGAAGUCAUGUCCCACUCAUUGUUUGCCCUUCCAGUGUCUGGCGUGGCGCCUGGCAUCACGUUCAUAGCCUACACUGGAUGACUGCUGAAUAAAUACAUUUUAAUAAAG